rnacentral:rRNA from 1 species
UACGAAGGGGGCUAGGCGUUGUUCGGAAUUACUGGGCGUAAAGGGCGCGACAGGCGGUCCGUUCAAGUCAGGCGUGAAAGCCCCGGGCUCAACCUGGGAAUAGCGCUUGAGACUGAGGGACUUGAGUUCGGGAGAGGAGACUGGAAUUUACGGUGUAGCGGUGAAAUGCGUAGAUAUCGUAAGGAAGACCAGUGGCGAAGGCGGGUCUCUGGACAGUUCCUGACGCUGAGGCACGAAGGUCAGGGGAGCAAACGGG